rnacentral:rRNA from 1 species
CAAUAGCGUAUAUUAAAAUUGUUGCGGUUAAAACGCUCGUAGUUGAACUUUUACAUCACUUGACCGGUCCCUUGAUGUUGAUAGCGGAUUUGAUUCGUUUGAUCGUUAUCUUGUGGCACCUGGAUAUCAAUUGGUGUAAAACUAUCCCAGGCUGUGGUUUAAAGUUGUUUGUGAAGCCUCCGUGCUACACAUAUCAGCCCACAAUUUGGGACUGUUACUUUGAGGAAAUUAGAGUGCUUCCAGCAAGCGAUAUCUUUUAGAUUGUCUGCUGUUGGAUAUAUUAGCAUGGAAUAAUAAGAUAGGACUUUGGUACUAUUUUGUUGGUUUCUAGUUGCUAAAGUAAUGAUUAAUAGGGACAGUCGGGGGCGAUUCGUAUUUAACGGUUAGAGGUGAAAUUCUAUGAUCCGUUAAAGACGCACUACUGCGAAAGCAUUUGCCAAGGAUGUUUUUCAUUGAUCAAGAACGAAAGUUGAGGGAUCAAAGACGAUUAGAUACCAU